UAGCGCCUGUGGCGGAUCCGGCACGAAUCUUUAAAGGCUUCGCAGGCAGCCGACUCGUGUACGAUCUUGUAGAAUUCAAGUUAACACUUGAAUUUAAUGAUUUCU
ncrna:unclassified sequences RT-5 RNA